rnacentral:SRP_RNA from 1 species
GCCGGGUGUGGUGGCUCAUGCCUGUAAUCCUAGCACUUUGGGAGGCUGAGGCAGGUGGAUCACCUGAGGUCAGGAGUUCGAGACCAGCCUGACCAACAUGGAGAAACCCUGUCUCUA